AUGCUUAUCCCAAAGACUAAGCCAUGCAUGUCUUCUGAACAAGUGAAGUAAUCUUCUCUGAAUCUGCGAACGGCUCCGCAUAUCAGUUGUAGACUCCGGCAAGCUCGCUAGUGUGCCCUACCUGUCUACCCUUCACGGGGCAAGGGGUAGGAGCAUUACUAAGCAUAUAUGGAUAACCCCGGUAAUUCUGAGGCUAAUACAUGACAUUCCUAACUACCGACUGGUGCCGUUCAGUUAGUGUCCCGCAAGGGCUCUAGCCGGCGCCUGGAGGUGGUGGGUGUGCCAGCUUAAAAAAUAACCCCUUCUUUAUGUUGGGAGAGGCGGCACGUUCUUGACUACCAUCGAAUAUGCAGCGGGCCUUCGGGCACACGUUUGCCUCUAUCGAGUCUGCAUUGGUUCGGCUAUCGCGCGUAGGAAACGAAACGCGGUAUCCUGCUGGUGUGGGGGUAGCUCUUGCAGUGUGCUCCUGACCUAUCAACCGGAUGGCAGCGUAUCGGACAUGCCAUAGUCACAACGGGUACAGAGGAUUAGGGUUUGAUCCUGGAGAGUGGGCCUGAGAGAUUGCUCAUACUUCUAAGGAAGGCAGCAGGCGCGCAACGUUCCCACUGGGCAUUGCCCGAGGGCGUUACGGGUCAUAAUAAUACCUGCCCAUUGGGUGGGUAAUUAUAAUGGGUUUGAUGUAAACAUACUUU
rnacentral:rRNA from 1 species